rnacentral:rRNA from 1 species
AGUAACACGUGGGUAACCUGCCUAUAAGACUGGGAUAACUUCGGGAAACCGGAGCUAAUACCGGAUAAUAUUUUGAACCGCAUGGUUCAAAAGUGAAAGACGGUCUUGCUGUCACUUAUAGAUGGAUCCGCGCUGCAUUAGCUAGUUGGUAAGGUAACGGCUUACCAAGGCAACGAUGCAUAGCCGACCUGAGAGGGUGAUCGGCCACACUGGAACUGAGACACGGUCCAG